rnacentral:rRNA from 1 species
AGAGUUUGAUCCUGGCUCAGAACGAACGCUGGCGGUGUGCUUAACACAUGCAAGUCGAACGAGAAAGUUUCCUUCGGGAAGCGAGUAAAGUGGCGCAAGGGUGAGUAACACGUGAAUAAUCUACCCCCGAGACUGGGAUAACCUGGUGAAAACUAGGCUAAUACCGGAUAAGACCACGUCCCGCAAGGGAUGCGGGAAAAGGAGGCUCAACCUCCACUUGGAGAUGAGUUCGCGGACCAUUAGCUUGUUGGUGAGAUAACAGCUCACCAAGGCUACGAUGGAUAGCCGGCCUGAGAGGGUGAACGGCCACACUGGAACUGAGACACGGUCCAGACUCCUACGGGAGGCAGCAGUGGGGAAUAUUGCGCAAUGGGCGAAAGCCUGACGCAGCAACACCGCGUGAGCGAUGAAGGCCUUAGGGUUGUAAAGCUCUGUCAAAUGGGAAGAAUUCUGACGGUACCAUUAGAGGAAGCCCCGGCUAACUCUGUGCCAGCAGCCGCGUAUACCGAAGGGGCAAGCGUGUCGACUAAUCGGCGUAAAGCGUAUGUAGCGCGAGUAAGUCAGGCGUGUAGCCGUGCUCAACCACGGAAUUGCGUCUGAACUACUCGGCUUGAGUGCAGGAGAGGAAAGCGGAAUUCCCAGUGUAGCGGUGAAAUGCAUUGAUAUUGGGAAGAACAUCUGUGGCGAAAGCGGCUUUCUGGCCUGCUACUGACGCUGAGAUACGAAAGCCAAGGUAGCGAACGGGAUUAGAUACCCCGGUAGUCUUGGCUGUAAACGAUGGGCACUAGGUGCUGGGGGUAUCGAUCCCCUCUGUGCCGCAGCUAACGCAUUAAGUGCCCCGCCUGGGGAGUACGGUCGCAAGGCUGAAACUCAAAGGAAUUGACGGGGGCCCGCACAAGCGUGAGCAUGUAUUAAUUCGACGCACGCGAGACCUACUGGCUGACAUGCACGGCAAGCAUAGAAAUAUGCCCUCAUGGGUCGUGUGCAGUGCUGCAUGCCUGUCGUCAGCUCGUGUCGUGAGAUGUUGGGUUAAGUCCCGCAACGAGCGCAACCCUCGCCUUUAGUUGCCAGCGGGUAAUGCCGGGAACUCUAGAGGGACUGCCGGUGAUAAACCGGAGGAAGGUGGGGAUGACGUCAAGUCCUCAUGGCCCUUAUGCCAGGGCUACACACGUGCUACAAUGGUCGGUACAAAGAGUCGCAAUACCGCGAGGUGGAGCUAAUCUCAUAAAGCCGAUCUCAGUUCGGAUUGAAGUCUGCAACUCGACUUCAUGAAGUUGGAAUCGCUAGUAAUCGUGAAUCAGCAUGCCACGGUGAAUACGUUCCCGGGCCUUGUACACACCGCCCGUCACACCACGAAAGCUGAUUGUACCGGAAGUCAGGAUGCCAACCCGUAAGGGGGGCUACUGCCUAUGGUAUGGUUAGUGAUCAGGGUGAAGUCGUAACAAGGUAACC